rnacentral:rRNA from 1 species
UGGGGAAUAUUGGACAAUGGGCGCAAGCCUGAUCCAGCCAUGCCGCGUGAGUGAUGAAGGCCUUAGGGUUGUAAAGCUCUUUCACCCGGGACGAUAAUGACGGUACCGGGAGAAGAAGCCCCGGCUAACUUCGUGCCAGCAGCCGCGGUAAUACGAAGGGGGCUAGCGUUGUUCGGAAUCACUGGGCGUAAAGCGUACGUAGGCGGACCGUUAAGUCGGAGGUGAAAUCCUGGGGCUCAACCCCAGAACUGCCUUCGAUACUGGCGGUCUCGAGUCCGGAAGAGGUGAGUGGAACUGCCAGUGUAGAGGUGAAAUUCGUAGAUAUUGGCAAGAACACCAGUGGCGAAGGCGGCUCACUGGUCCGGUACUGACGCUGAGGUACGAAAGCGUGGGGAGCAAACAG